rnacentral:rRNA from 1 species
UACGGAGGGGGCUAGCGUUGUUCGGAAUUACUGGGCGUAAAGCGCACGUAGGCGGCUUUGUAAGUUAGAGGUGAAAGCCCGGGGCUCAACUCCGGAAUUGCCUUUAAGACUGCAUCGCUAGAACGUCGGAGAGGUAAGUGGAAUUCCGAGUGUAGAGGUGAAAUUCGUAGAUAUUCGGAAGAACACCAGUGGCGAAGGCGACUUACUGGACGACUGUUGACGCUGAGGUGCGAAAGCGUGGGGAGCAAACGGG